rnacentral:tRNA from 1 species
GCCAUCAUGGUGUAGAGGUGAGCACGCUCGACGCAUAUUCGAGAGGUCCGUGGUUCAAGUCCCGGCGAGGACA